CAUGUCAUUUGUGUUAAUGGCUACCCUUUACUUGAAUACUGGAAGAAUGUUGAUGCAUUUCUCACUUUAAACGACACAAUUGAGGACUAUAUACUCCAAUUAUGUGAUGAAAAAUUGUCUCCUCCAUUGCCUCCACCAAAUGCACCAGCUACUGAGCUUUUUGAUGCUAAAAAAUUUUUUCCAGAAUUACUGAAAGGCAACUACCAAAGUUUGUAGAUCGUACAGGAAAUGAGUCAAAUGAUUAUAAAAAAUUAGCUUGUGACUUUGUCCUUAGUAAGGGGCUAAAAAUAAAUGAGAGUUACUUAGAAUCAAAAGUAAUUAAUUAUUUUUACUUUUUAAAAGCAUAUUAGUUUGUAUUCAAGGAAGUUAUUUUUAAUUUUGGAAAGAGAGGGGAAGACCCAAUUAUGUCACAUUACUUUUACAAUAAAGAGAAGUCUGUUGUCAUGCCCAAACCUUACAAGUUUAAGAAAGAAGAGGUAUCUUCAUUACUGCCUCAUCAAUUAGAUGAAACAUAACUAUUGUGGUAUUAUGACGUGACUGAGCAUGAUAAGGAAUGUACUAGCAAAAAUGAGGCAAAAACUGGCAGUGCCAUCAUGGAAAUUUUAUUGCAAUACUUCACCUCUGAGGCAAAUAAAUAACAAUAA